CUGAAGUGAAAAUAUAGUGAAUAUAAAAAAAACCACCGCAAUGCCACAUCCAUUUAAAGUAGCUUUUGGUGACCAUAUUAAUAUACUUCUUUGACUGCUAUUAUACAAUCGCCUAAGAAAAUUUUGCCGCUAAGUGAUAUAAAUCGCUUUAUAAAGGCACAGUUUCAAACAACUGGCAAUACGCAUUGCGACAUAAUAUAAGUUUUAACGAUUGUUUUAUAAAAGUGCCCCGUAAUAUUAGCAAACCCGGCAAGGAGUUUGCUGGAGCCUUCAUCCUAAAGCAUCCGAAUUGUUUGAUAAGGUGCCUUGCUAGGACUAAAGGGUGGUUGUGGAGCUUAAAUAGGUAGCUCGCUGCUUGUCUGUUUACAAUGCCGCCUAUCAUUGGAAUGUUAAGGUCUUUUGCGAUGUCCUGCGCUAGAAAAUAUUCGGCUCCAGAAAUUUUUCGCUUGGUCUUGGCCUGGAUGACGAGAACUUUAUGCAAAUGAAGACCUUGUUUCGGAUAAAGAGUUUGUUGAUGGAGUUGAGAAGCCAGCUUCUUCGCCGGAUUUUUAUUUUGACAUUGUUGAUUACCUCGGUGAUAUUAUAUAAAACGUAAGUCAAAGUAUUUGUCUCCGAAGUAUUUGUGGUCACUCACACCUGCUCUAAGAGCACACCAUGGAGAAAAAGUCCGGGGCAGGAGUCUUUGCCCGGGGUAUGAGUGACGGUAGCACAUUUUCCAGUGCUCACUUAAACUCCACCUACAAGCGCUUGAGGUACUCCUGCAGGAUGUCCGCUGCUUCAUACGCCCAUCUG